rnacentral:rRNA from 1 species
UACGUAGGGUCCGAGCGUUGUCCGGAAUUAUUGGGCGUAAAGAGCUCGUAGGCGGUCUGUCGCGUCGGCUGUGAAAACACGGGGCUCAACUCCGUGCCUGCAGUCGAUACGGGCAGACUAGAGUUCGGUAGGGGAGACUGGAAUUCCUGGUGUAGCGGUGAAAUGCGCAGAUAUCAGGAGGAACACCGGUGGCGAAGGCGGGUCUCUGGACAGUUCCUGACGCUGAGGGACGAAAGCUAGGGGAGCAAACGAG